rnacentral:tRNA from 1 species
AUUUAAAUAGUUUAAUUAAAAUAUUGAUUUGUGGUGUCAAUGAUAAGAGAAUUCUUUUUAAAUU